GCAAAAGGUCGCAAAGUUCAAGGGGGCCGAAUACUUUCGGGCUUGAUUACCAACAACGAUGAGACAGCCUACAGGGAGGAGGUGAGGGCACUCGGAGUGUGGUGUCGGGAAAACAACCUCUCAAAGUCGACAAAACAAAGGAGAUUAUCGUGGACUUCAGGAAGCAACAGAGAGAGCACCCGCCUAUCACAUCGAAGGGACAGCAGUGGAGAAGGUGGAAAGUUUUAGGUUCCUCUAUGUACAUAUCACAGACAAACUGAAAUGGUCCACCCACAGUUUCUGUGAUAUGCGCCUCUUCAACUUCAGGAGGCUGAAGAAAUGUGUCUUGUCACCCAAAACUGACAAACCUUUACAGAUGCACAAUCGAGAGCAUCCUGUCGGGCUGUAAUUUUCAUCAAGUUUAUCUCAAUACUUUAUAUACCCUUUGUUGGCAAUGACAGAGGUCCCAAACACACCUCCCGGGCAAUGAAGGAGUGGCUUCGUAAGAAGCAUUUCAAGGUCCUGGAGUGGCCUAGCCAGUCUCCAGAUCUCAACCCCAUAGAAAAUCUUUGAAGGGAGUUGAAAGUCCGUGUUGCCCAGCAUCAGCCCCAAAACAUCACUGCUCUAGAAGAGAUCUGCAUGGUGGAAUGGGCCAAAAUACCAGCAACAAUGUGUGAAAACCUUGUGAAGACUUACAGAAAAUGUUUGACCUCUGUCAUUGCCAACAAAGGGUAUAUAACAAAGUAUUGAGAUAAACUUUUGUUAUUGACCAAAUACUUAUUUUCUAACAUAAUUUGCAAAUAAAUUCAUUGAAAAUCCUACAAUGUGAUUUUCUGGAUUUUUUUUCUCUCAUUUUGUCUGUCAUAGUUGAAGUGUACCUAUGAUGAAAAUUACAGGCCUCAUCUUUUUAAGUGGGAGAACUUACACAAUUGGUGGCUGACUAAAUACUUUUUUACCCCACUGUAUAUGUACAUAUUCUAAUUCCUUCCCUUUAGAUUUAUGUGUAUUAGGUAGUUGGGGAAUUGUUAGAUUACUUGUUACAUAUUACUGCACUGUCAGAACUAGAAGUACAAGCAUUUCGCUACACUCACAUUAACAUCUGCUAACCAUGUGUAUGUGACCAAUAAGAUUUGAGUUGAUUUAAUUUGACACUGUGGUGUAAAUAGUUUAGGGGCAGAGCUACACUGGGUCUUGUUUAGUUGAUUGCACUGGGUGGCCUGGCAUUGUCCUUGGUGGCCUGGCAUUGCCCUGGGUGGCCUGGCAUUACCCUUGGUGGCAUGGCAGGCAGCUCUCUCUCAUCCAUCAGCCCGGCCCACAUGCUGGCAAGGUGCUGGGCCUGAUUUAUCUGUGCCCCAGGCCCUGGCACUAAGUGUAGUGCACGACCUUUGACCUGAGCCCUGUCUGAAGGUAGUGCACUACAUAAGGACUAGGGUGCCAUUUGGGAAGCAGAGGGUUGUGUCUGAAAGCAACAACAAAAAAACAAGGGGGUUAGGGCCCGACACCGUUCUGCUGUGUAGAAUCCUCCCAGACAUACACCGUGGGCUGGGUUUAGAAUAGCACCGCUGCCUGCUUGUAAAUCCAUCAUUUUCAGUUUCUUCAAAACACGCACAUACACUCUUAAAACCAGUCGACCGUACACACACACACACACACAGAGUGAUAAACCAUCAUCACUAUCCCAUCUUUUUACCGCUCUGUUUUUUUUUUUUACCUUGCCGUCAGGCCCUAGUGUCAAUUCCAGAGCAGACACCCCAGAUGUGUUCAGACAGAUUGGGGAUAAGAGAAGAGAGAAAAUAGCAUGGCUUCCUGUGGCCAACGGGGAAUGGGAGGGGAGGGAGGGAGAGAAGGGGAGGGAAGCUUAAAUGAAUACUUGUCCUCAAACUCUGAAUGUCAAAUAUUUUUUCUCCCCAUCCUACUUUAAUUAUCCAUCACUUCAUCUCUAUAUAUACAUUUUCCCUUCCUCUCCGCUGUUCAACUUCUCCCCUUCUUCUCUCUCUCCCUCCUUUCUUUUGCUCUCCCACUCUGUCAAGAGUCUGGUAUGUCCUCAAUCAGUCAUUAUUAAAGACACUGCAUCUCAGCGCUAGACGCGUCACUACAGACACCCUGGUUUGAAUCCAGGCUGUAUCACAACCGGCCGUGAUUGGGAGUCCCAUAUGGCGGCGCACAAUCGGCCCAGCGUGGUCCGGUUUAGGCCGUCAUUGUAAAUAAGAAUUUUGAUCUUAACUGACUUGCCUACUUAAAUUGAUGUUAAAUUUUUAAAAUGUAAAAUCGUCCUGAGCCUGCUUCACACGUAGUCAUAGACACAUACACAGACAUGCACACUGUCCCAAUCAUCUGAGGACCUAGCCGUCUGACGCAAACAAGGCAGCCAGAGGAGAUACUGUUGUUGACGAGGUCGGAACCAUGGGAGCAUGGGGUGGCUUAAUGUGAGAUAGCACUGACAACCACAGGCCACAUUCAUAGAGGAGAUACUGUUGUUGACGAGGUCAGAACCAUGGGAGCAUGGGGUGGCUUAAUGUGAGAUAGCACUGACAACCACAGGCCACAUUCAUAGAGGAGAUACUGUUGUUGACGAGGUCGGAACCAUGGGAGCAUGGGGUGGCUUAAUGUGAGAUAGCACUGACAACCACAGGCCACAUUCAUAGAGGAGAUACUGUUGUUGAUGAGGUCGGAACCAUGGGAGCAUGGGGUGGCUUAAUGUGAGAUAGCACUGGCAACCACAGGCCACAUUCAUAGAGGAGAUACUGUUGUUGACGAGGUCGGAACCAUGGGAGCAUGGGGUGGCUUAAUGUGAGAUAGCACUGACAACCACAGGCCACAUUCAUAGAGGAGAUACUGUUGUUGACGAGGUCGGAACCAUGGGAGCAUGGGGUGGCUUAAUGUGAGAUAGCACUGACAACCACAGGCCACAUUCAUAGAGGAGAUACUGUUGUUGAUGAGGUCGGAACCAUGGGAGCAUGGGGUGGCUUAAUGUGAGAUAGCACUGACAACCACAGGCCACAUUCAUAGAGGAGAUACUGUUGUUGACGAGGUCAGAACCAUGGGAGCAUGGGGUGGCUUAAUGUGAGAUAGCACUGACAACCACAGGCCACAUUCAUAGAGGCGAUCUUGUUAGUGAAUGACACCGCCAGCUUGGAACCACCAGAUUGAAAUUGUUCCGAGUUAAUUUACUUCUUUUUUUUUGCUAGUGCUCUUUCCCAUAAUAAUACACUCUUUCCCAUUUGCUCUUGUCAAAUUGUCAGUUGAAUGCAUUUAGUCUUACUGAAACAGGGGAAGAGAUGGGCCUGUGUGUGUACGUGUGUUAAUGUCUGUUAGUCAUCACUCUCUGAUGUCUCCUCAUGCAGAGCCUUGUGCUCUCUCUCUCUCUCUCUCUCUCUCUCUCUCUCUCUCUCUCUCUCUCUCUCUCUCUCUCUCUCUCUC